rnacentral:rRNA from 1 species
UACGGAGGGUGCAAACGUUGCUCGGAAUCAUUGGGCGUAAAGAGCGCGCAGGCGGUCGUUCAAGUCGAGUGUGAAAGCCCCCGGCUCAACUGGGGAGGGUCACUCGAUACUGAUCGACUCGAAGGCAGGAGAGGGAAGCGGAAUUCCCGGUGUAGUGGUGAAAUGCGUAGAUAUCGGGAGGAACACCAGUGGCGAAGGCGGCUUUCUGGCCUGUUCUUGACGCUGAGGCGCGAAAGCUAGGGUAGCAAACGGG